UACGAAGGGGGCUAGCGUUGCUCGGAAUGACUGGGCGUAAAGGGCGCGUAGGCGGAUGGCACAGUCAGAUGUGAAAUUCCCGGGCUUAACCUGGGGGCUGCAUUUGAUACGUGUGAUCUAGAGUGAGGAAGAGGGUCGUGGAAUUCCCAGUGUAGAGGUGAAAUUCGUAGAUAUUGGGAAGAACACCGGUGGCGAAGGCGGCUCACUGGCUCAUUUCUGACGCUCAGGCGCGACAGCGUGGGGAUCAAACAGG
rnacentral:rRNA from 1 species